UGGGGUGUCGCCAAGUGGUAAGGCAUCAGAUUCUGGCUCUGACAUUCCGAGGGUUCAAGUCCUUCCACCCCAACCA
rnacentral:tRNA from 1 species